CGAGAAGGGAAGAAAUAAGUAAGGAUGCCGUGAAGUCCAAAGGAGCAUUUUGCUAAACAGUGAUGCCUAUCUUCCAGGCCCUGACUCCUGCACUCCACACUUUGGUGUGAAGAAGGCACAAGGCCACCGGGAGCUUCUUGAUGCUCAAGGCAUCUUCUGGUCCACAGAGACCUGAUCCCCAGCCUCUACUUUUCCUUUUCUCGAAGCUCGCUGGACUCCUCUACAGUGUAGCUUUGGCAUCCUUCUCCACCGGGCGUCCAGUGUAUUGAGGCCAGCAGGGACCCGAAUUGGCACCCCAGGCUCAGACUUGGCCAUUCUACCGGAACUCGCCCUUCUUGAGACGCCCUGGGCCCCCGCUUAACAAUUGGCUCCAAUAGCAGGACGCUGGGUUUCCGUGCCUUUUCCUCAGCCAGGCCUCUUAAA